UACGAGGGGUGCAAGCGUUGCUCGGAAUUAUUGGGCGUAAAGGGUAGGUAGGUGGUCUCAUUUGUCCGGGGUGAAAGCCUUGAGCUUAACUCAAGAAGUGCCCCGGAAACGGUGAGACUGGAGUCCUGGAGAGGGUCGUGGAAUUCCCGGUGUAGCGGUGAAAUGCGUAGAGAUCGGGAGGAACACCAGAGGCGAAAGCGGCGACCUGGACAGGCACUGACACUCAACUACGAAAGCGUGGGGAGCAAACAGG
rnacentral:rRNA from 1 species